GCUCCUUGGUGAUUCAUAAUAACUUAACGAAUCGCAUGGCCUUGCGCCGGCGAUGGUUCAUUCAAAUUUCUGCCCUAUCAACUUUCGAUGGUAGGAUAGUGGCCUACCAUGGUCUUAACGGGUAACGGGGAAUUAGGGUUCGAUUCCGGAGAGGGAGCCUGAGAAACGGCUACCACAUCCAAGGAAGGCAGCAGGCGCGCAAAUUACCCAAUCCCGAUCCGGGGAGGUAGUGACAAUAAAUACUGAUACGGGGCUCUUUCGGGUCUCGUAAUUGGAAUGAGUACAAUCUAAAUCCCUUAACGAGGAACAAUUGGAGGGCAAGUCUGGUGCCAGCAGCCGCGGUAAUUCCAGCUCCAAUAGCGUAUAUUAAAGUUGUUGCCGUUAAAAAGCUCGUAGUUGAACCUUGGACCUGGCUGAUCUGUCCUCCUAAUCGAGCGCACGGAUUCGGUCGGGUCUUUCCUUCUGGGGAGCCCCAUGCCCUUCGCUGGGUGUGUUGGGGAACCAGGACUUUUACCUUGAAAAAAUUAGAGUGUUCAAAGCAGGCCUUUGCUCGAAUACAUUAGCAUGGAAUAAUAGAAUAGGACGUCGGUUCUAUUUUGUUGGUUUCUAGGACCGCUGUAAUGAUUAAUAGGGACAGUCGGGGGCGUCAGUAUUCAAUUGUCAGAGGUGAAAUUCUUGGAUUUAUUGAAGACUAACUACUGCGAAAGCAUUCGCCAAGGAUGUUUUCAUUAAUCAGUGAACGAAAGUUAGGGGAUCGAAGACGAUCAGAUACCGUCGUAGUCUUAACCAUAAACUAUGCCGACUAGGGAUCGGACGGUGGUUUUUUUAUGCCCCGUUCGGCACCUUACGAGAAAUCAAAGUUUUUGGGCUCGGGGGGGAGUA
rnacentral:rRNA from 1 species